rnacentral:misc_RNA from 1 species
GAUGAAGAACGUAGCCAAAUGCGAUACGUAAUGUGAAUUGCAGAAUUCAGUGAAUCAUCGAGUCUUUGAACGCACAUUGCGCCCCCUGGUAUUCCGGGGGGCAUGCCUGUCCGAGCGUCAUUGCUGCCCUCAAGCACGGCUUGUGUGUUGGGCCUCCGUCCUCCUCCCGGGGGACGGGCCCGAAAGGCAGCGGCGGCACCGCGUCCGGUCCUCGAGCGUAUGGGGCUUCGUCACCCGCUCUUGUAGGCCCGGCCGGCGCUUGCCGACACAUCAAUCUUUUUUCCAGGUUGACCUCGGAUCAGGUAGGGAUACCCGCUGAACUUAAGCAUAUCAAUAAGCGGAGGA